GAUUGUGGGAUGCGGCUAACCCAAGUUAUUGUUUAAAUGCAUACACCGGGCACCCUAAUCAUGUUAUAUCCCUGGAUUUCCAUCCCAAGAAGAACGAUCUUUUCUGUUUUUGUGAUAGUAACAAUGAAAUUCGCUAUUGGAAUAUCAAUCCAUUCACUUGCGCUCGUGUUUCUAAGCAAGGAGGCAGUGCUCAGGUA